CUUGGUCAUUUAGAGGAAGUAAAAGUCGUAACAAGGUUUCCGUAGGUGAACCUGCGGAAGGAUCAUUAAUGAUUGCGAAUGGUUGCCUUCAGUGCUGGCCGGCUUCGGCUUUGGCAAGUGCACGUCGGUGACUUUCAUCCAAUACCCUGUGAACCUUUGGCCUCUGCUAGCUUCGGCCGGCAGAGGAUUUUACACAAACUCGAAUGUAAUGAAAUUUAUUGUCGUGCGCAAGCACUAAUGUACAACUUUCAACAACGGAUCUCUUGGCUCUCGCAUCGAUGAAGAACGCAGCGAAAUGCGAUAAGUAAUGUGAAUUGCAGAAUUCAGUGAAUCAUCGAAUCUUUGAACGCACCUUGCGCCCUUUGGCUAUUCCGAAGGGCAUGCCUGUUUGAGUAUCAUGAACACCUCAACUCUCAUGGCUUUGCCGUGACGAGCUUGGACUUUGGGGGUCUUGCUGGCCUGUGGUCAGCUCCUCUCAAAUGAAUUAGCUUGCCAGUGUUUGGUGGCAUCACGGGUGUGAUAACUAUCUACGCUUGUGGUUUCCCACCAGGUAACCUUCAGUGAUGAAGGUUCGCUGGGGCUCAUAAAUGUGUCUCUCCUCAGCGAGGGACAGCUCUUUGAAUGUUUGAUCUCAAAUCAGGUAGGACUACCCGCUGAACUUAAGCAUAUCAAUAAGCGGAGG
rnacentral:rRNA from 1 species